AAAGUCGUAGGUUAAUAAAACCUUCGCCGUUCAAAGGCAAAAAUACUUUAUGUCGAUUUUA
rnacentral:tRNA from 1 species